GGGGACGAAAGGAUUUCGACGGGGAUCUUGAACCAUUGGUAGCGAGCAGCGGCGCGGACCCGCUAUAAAAGCCGCAGUUUAGAAAUAAACGACGACAACUACGAACUACUUGCUGCUUAACCUAAUCGGUUAGCAGCCGUUCCGCCCGGGAGGACUGCGGCCCGGAACGGAGCGUCACUGAGCAGUGCACGUGCAUGAGCGGGACGCCGUGCCCCUCAUCAUGAAUAUACACGGCUACCGUACCGCGCAGCCUGCCCGUUGGCGGCGCGCGAGGGGAACCCCAAACAACGGGAUACGCUCGUAGAAACCAAUGCGGAUGGAUGUUCGGACGCGGUUUCGAUUGCCGCCGUCUCCACCA
rnacentral:tmRNA from 1 species